AGAAAGAGCAAAGGAGACAUUAGGAGUCAGCCAUAGAGACAUUAGGAGACAAACUAAACAGCAGUCCAGGUACAAAGACACGAGAUCAGAAGGAGCGGCGGUCCGCAUUGAGGUCACGGAAGAGAUCUGUGCUGUUCUGUAAAGUUCUCUGUCUUGUGGAUAUGAAGGAUGAAGAGAGGCAGCUGGAGAACUCAGAAUCUCUGCUGCAGCUGAGAAGGGAUCCAGCCUGGCUUUAAUACUGGAGCAAAGACGAGAUUGGCUGUGCUGAGCCACCUAACAUGUCUUUGUUGGAUGAUGGUUGAUUGAUAAUUCUUUUUGAGUAAUUCAAUGAAUAAAUGAAUGCUGUUUGUA